rnacentral:rRNA from 1 species
AGAAAAAGGAAAGAAAGAACUGGACACACCCGAUGCUCUUUGCCUCGUGCCUCCCUCUUACACCUCACACAUGACCAAACCUUAUCCUUCCAUUGUCUCCCCACCGCUCCUAGAAAAGCAAAAGAAAAAUAAAACGCUAGCAGAAAGGACGGCGCGGAGCGCCAACACCCACCACACAACAGCCAGCCGCUGCCGUCCUCGGUGCUCCCGGCGGUCGGCGAAGGCAACCCUGGGCAUGCUGCUGCUGCUGCUCCGGAGGACCGCUCACCUGGAGCAGGAGCUCGACCUUCGCUUCCGCCUCUUCCGCUACUGGGACUGCCGUGCCAACGCGCAUGCCUAGUUCCUUCACGCCAACGCCUCCGCCAUCGGCACCGUCAUUGGCAACCCCGAUGUCGCAUCGAUGCACCGCCGUCCUUCUUUGUGGGGAUGGACUGCGUCCACCUCCCAAGUACCGGGAGCGCCGAAUCCGCGUCACCAACAUCUCCAACUUCCUCACCGACGACGUUGCCGGCCUCGCCAUCUCUGUGCCAUCUAAGACCACACAUGCUGACCGCUACAUGCGCGCCGGCUUGUGGAAGGCAAGAGGGACUACACAGUGACCACGCGGUCCAACAACUCUUUCUGGAAGAAAAAACCUUCAGACAAACCGGUGAGGACUCAAC